GCUCCGAAAUCUCCUCUCUUCUCCAAUUCUCCUCUCUUCUCCUCUCCUCACCGGUCACACCGCUCCGAAAUCGUUCUCCACCAAAGCUUCACUACCAGGAUGCGCUGCCUCCGCCGCACAGCCGCCCACCUGCUCUGCUACGCGAGGACUGUCCCCGCCAAUGAAGCCCGCAUGGCGUUCGACCAAAUGCUUCUUCCGCCUACCACCGUCCUGUGUCGCCCGCCGCGCGUGCACGCCGGCCACAUGCUCGACGGAAUGCGCGGCUCGCGGUUCUGCACCCAGGCGGGAUCUACCGGCACCCACGAGCUCGCCAUGGGCCAGAAGUUCACGGUGGUCCCUGGCUCCGACGGCUCCGAGGCGGCAGAGAAGGUCUGUCGCAUCGCCGUGGACCAGCAGUUCACGGUGGUCCCGGGCUCCGACGUCUCCGAGGUGGCAGAGAGGGUGUGCCGCGUUCUCUCCACCCAGCCGGAACCGACGGUGGCGCCGGCUCUUGACGCGCUUGGGGUGCCCAUGUCGCGGGAACUUGUGGCAGAGGUGCUGAAGAACCUGAGCAACGCCGGCGUGCUAGCCCUCACCUUCUUCCGGUGGGCGGAGAGGCAGGAAGGCUUCGUGUACACAGCCGAGAGCUUCCACAACCUGAUUGAAGCGCUCGGCAAGAUAAAGCAGUUCAGGCUGGUGUGGAGCCUGGUCGAGGCUAUGCGGUGCCGCGGCUUGCUUUCCAAGGACACAUUCAGGCUCAUCGUCAGGAGGUAUGCCCGGGCAAGGAAGGUCAAGGAAGCCAUCGAGACGUUCGAGAAGAUGGGCGGUUUUGGGCUGAAAACAGACUUGUCAGAUUACAACUGGCUGAUCGAUGUGCUGAGCAAAUCCAAGCAAGUCAGGAAGGCGAAUGCCAUCUUUAAGGACAUGAAGAGGGAUGGAAAGUUUGUGCCUGAUCUGAAGACCUACACUAUCCUCAUGGAAGGCUGGGGCCAUGAGAAGGACUUGUUGAUGCUCAAGUCGGUGUACCAAGAAAUGCUGGAUGCAGGCAUUAAGCCUGAUGUCGUGGCGUACGGGAUGCUCAUCAGUGCCUUUUGCAAGUCCGCCAAAUGUGACGAGGCCAUCAAGGUGUUCCAUGAGAUGGAAGCCACCGGUGUCAUGCCAAGCCCUCAUGUGUACUGCAUGCUUAUCAAUGGUCUUGGCUCAGAGGAGAGGCUGGAUGAAGCUUUGAAGUUUUUCGAGCUUUCUAAGUCCAGCGGGUUUCCCAUGGAGGUACCUACAUGCAAUGCGGUUGUUGGGGCUUACUGCAGAUCCUCAAAGUUCGAGCAUGCCUUCAGGAUGGUUGAUGAGAUGAGAAAGAGUGGAAUUGGACCAAAUUCCCGGACUUAUGAUAUUAUUUUGCAGUAUCUUAUAAAAUCUCAGAAGAUAGACGAGGCUUAUAAUGUUUUCCAGGAAAUGGGUAGGAGUGGCUGUGAACCUCAGAUCAACACAUAUACAAUAAUGGUUGGUAUGUUCUGCAGUAAUGAAAGGGUUGAUAUGGCCUUAAAGGUGUGGAACCAGAUGAAGGAGAAGGGUGUUCUCCCAUGUAUGCACAUGUUUUCCGCGUUGAUCAAUGGGUUAUGCUUUGAGAACAGGCUGGAAGAAGCCUGCAUCUAUUUCCAGGAGAUGUUGGACAAAGGAAUUAGGCCACCUGCUCAGCUUUUCAGUAAUUUGAAGCAAGCUCUUAUUGAGGGAGGAAGGAUUAGUUUGGCACAAGAGAUGGCUUUCAAGUUGGAUACGUUACGGAAAACACCUUUGCGUCCUUGAGGAAACAUGCAAAUGAUUUUGUUCAGAAGCUUCAGAAUAAGUCAUUUACUAACGAGGAGGAGUUGCAAGUGAUGCAAGACAUCGCUGAAGAAUUCACACUCCCUUUUAACAUCUAGGCAAUCAAAUGGAAGAUAACUGGUGUACUUCAAAAUAAAAUGCAUAUUUUAGUGAACUUAACGAAUUAUGUCACCCAUCCCUUUUUAUUGAAAAGGCUGAUGGGAAAGGAUGGAUCCCACAUGGCUGGUGGAACUGAUCAUGAUUGGGGGCAUGCUGACUUGGGGCUUAAAAAUCUGGGCCUGGAGAAAGCAGGGACUGAGUCAGUUAGCACCUUAAAUGGUAAAAUAGUAAACAAGGCAAGAUAGUAUUGCUGAAGUUAUUAUAAGCCUGGAGAGCAACGAGUGAGAAGUUUGCUAAAGAAGAUAGUAUUGGUUUGUAUAAUCAAGCAAGAUAAAUAGGAGAGUUUGCACAGUCGAUUGAAGAUAGGCAGCAAAUGCCAAAGAAGAAGGCGGUGAAUAUGCGGCCUCCCUAUGUUAAGCCAAACACUAACAUGAAAUCUGACAAAUCAAGCUGCAAAUGGUACAGGCAUGAUGAUGCACUUCAGCCUGUUUCCAUCGGAAGGAAAAUCACAGUCACCUGCAUAUAGUUAUCUGGACGAUGAAGUGACUAGUGAUGAAAGAUGGCAAACCAAACACAUGGUGGCCAAACAAGACACUCAAGCAACAGGAAUGGUUGCCCUGACUACUACGAAAAAUCCUGUUCAAUGAAAUGAAACGCAACAUCUCUUGCGUUUUCUCGAAAAAAAAACAUUCAGGUAGGCAAAAUAGAUCAGCAAGCAGCAGUGACUACCAAACAGAGGAAGAUUAGACGGAUAAUGCAAUUGAUUUCGGCAAUCUUCUACUGUGAGCACCUAGUUUGCAUCAGAAUCACAGGAGCAGGAGUUCUCAUCCCCGUGAAGGAGGCCAUGACAACGAGGAAAGGCUCAUGGAUAAGCUUCUGAGGCAAGGGCAUAGACAGUGAGGAUAACAAGACCAGGACAGAAUCCUGGACACCUCAAGCUCGAACCAAUCAACGUGCUGAUGGCAAUGGGGAGCGAUCCAACAGAGAUGGAGGUUCAAUCCUUCAGAAAUAGCCAUAUGGCUGCCCACAGUAUCUGAAUCCCCAAUUGCGAAGCUGAAGGCUCGUCGUCCCGCUCGGUCCAUUUUGCUGCAGCUGGACACGUCUAGGGGAAAUGUACUCCUUGGUCAGGUAAACUUCGACAAACUGGCUGCACGCAUCAGCGCUCUGAAGAAGGCUUGAUCUUCCUGCUGCAGAAUAUCAAUAGUCGUCGACAUCGACGAGAGCUUGUUCGUUCAGUUUGACAACUGUGUUUGUUAUCACCGCUCCAUCUCAUUGUCCGCCGUGCUGCCGGAGAAGCCUCUCAAGGCGCCCAAGGUGCAAAAGAAAGAGUACGACGAGAGUGAUCUGGGGAACCUCCUGAAGAACAGAGAGAAUGAGAAGGCUCUCAAGGAGCUCAAGGCUAAAGCUGCACUGGGCGCGCUCGGAGAAAAAAAAAGGACGUACCCAGUGCUGAGGGCUCCCGCACUGUGCGGGGUCUGGGGGCACUGGGUGCGCUCAGAGAAAGAGCGGCAAAAAAUGAUCUUCCGCCACAACUUAUCUUUCUACUUAGUUAGAAGCUUCUGAAGAAAAUGGCCGAGAACCUUCGCUUGGAAGAUUCUCAACUCAUAUUGACAAACAAUGCUCCAAAUGUGGUCUUGAAGAGAAUGAGGUACACCUUUUUUUCCUUUGCCCAUUUGCAAAAGCUGCCUGGUUCAGCUCUCCAUGGCUCUUAAGAUCCGAAGUUUAUUUUGCAAAUCGUGGCUCAGUUCCUGCAGUUAUUGAGGCUAUCUUGUCUUCUGGGCAUCCCAAUGCUUCGACUACUAAUCUGUAUACGUUCUUGUGGUGCCUUUGGAAGUCUACAAAUGAUAAUCCUUUUGGCAGGAAAUCAAACAAACCAUUUCAGGUACAUGCAGCAGCCAAGGCAAUCCUUCAGGGCGUUAGGACUGAUGAUGAGCUCACUCCUACAGAAGUGCAUGCUUCCAUAACUCAGGACAAACAGUGCACCUCUCUCCAACAGGGAUCUUCGUUCUUCGGUAUCGGAACCCUCCAAACUUGCAGGACCGGUAUUCUACGUCGAUGCUGCUUGGUCGCCUUUGCAAGGACAAAAUUCAGCACCAGCAGGCAUUGGCAUCUUCAUACAACAUACAGGACUGACUCCCAGCAGCAACAGCUUCAUCUCGGCGAUGUCCCCGCAUGUCUCAUCUGCUCUACAGGCCGAAGCAUUUAGAGUCCAAUUAGCUGUCAGAAUCGCAGAGCUGUUAUGCUCUGAGCAACCCAUAUUUUUGACAGACAACAGGACGCUAUCUGUUGCGGCAGCAGCCAACAAUCCCGUUGGUGCCCUGGACACAGGCAUAUUGCACCUCAACUUGCAGCCAUUUUUAGUACAUCUGCUUUCAGGCAACAUAAUUUUAAGGCGCACCAUCAAGCCAAGUUAGCACUCAGGCUUCUCAACAAGGAUGUUAUUUUCAGGUGUUUAUGCAAUUCCCAGCAGCCUGGAACAUGUCCAGUGCGCGGAGCUCUGUCUGAAUUGGCUGUUCAGCCAUUCAAACUAGUAUCUGUAAAAUGUUGUUAAAUCAAUAAAAUAAUCCCAGUUCAA